ensembl:rRNA 5S_rRNA 5S ribosomal RNA
AUCUUCAGUCAUACCACCCUGAACAUGCUUGAUCUCGUUUGAUCUCAGAAGCUUAGCAGGGUCGGGCCCAUUUAUUACUUGGAUGGGAUACCGCCUGGAAAUACUAGGCGCUGUAGGCU